CGGAUCACCUGGCACCCCGACUGGGUACCUCCAUUGAAGGAUGCUCCUAGCACUUCCUGAGGACUCCAAGCACUGCAGCAGACACCAAAACCACCGAACCGUAGGAGCAUGUGAAUGCUCUCAAGCAUAUGAAUGUUGUAUACAGCCGAAUAGGAAAAAACAUGCGAAUAGGUUUACACUCCUAGCAGUCAAACUGGAACAGCAUACAAUAAAUCCUCCCCCAAUAAUGAGACG